rnacentral:rRNA from 1 species
UGCGUAACAUGUGGGAAUCUGCCUUUUGGUUCGGAACAACACGGGGAAACUUGUGCUAAUACCGGAUAAGUCCUAACGGAGAAAGAUUUAUCGCCGAAAGAUGAGCCCGCACUAGAUUAGCUUGUUGGUAAGGUAAAAGCUUACCAAGGCUACGAUCUAUAGCUGAUUUGAGAGGAUGAUCAGCCACACUGGGACUGAGACACGGCCCAGACUCCUACGGGAGGCAGCAGUGGGGAAUCUUGCACAAUGGAGGAAACUCUGAUGCAGCGAUGCCGCGUGAGUGAAGAAGGCCCUUGGGUUGUAAAGCUCUUUUGUCGGGAAAGAUAAUGACUGUACCCGAAGAAUAAGGUCCGGCUAACUUCGUGCCAGCAGCCGCGGUAAUACGAAGGGACCUAGCGUAAUUCGGAAUUACUGGGCGUAAAGCGCGCGUAGGCGGUUAAGUAAGUUAAUUGUGAAAGCCCAAAGCUCAACUUUGGAAUUGCAAUUAAAACUACUUAGCUAGAGUUUAUCAGAGGAAAGCGGAAUACAUAGUGUAGAGGUGAAAUU